UAAUUUAGGUAAUCGCUGCAAAGCUUGACUUUGUAGAGGAAAGUCCAUGCUCACACGGAUCUGAGAUGACCGUAGUGUUUAUGCUCGGUGAAAAAAUAAGCCGGGGCUUCGCGCAUAGCGCGUCGACGGCGGGAAUAAGCCCUAAGUUGAUAUGAGUUUCUCAUAUCAAUAUGGGUUAGGUUCCCUGAACAGUGCCACAGAAACGUAGCUGACUUGGAAACAGGUCAGGUGGAACGCGGUAAACCCCAUAAGUGAGAAACCCAAACUAUGGUAGGGGCACUCUUCUGAAGGAAUUGAACGGAUGAAGGGACAGGUAUUUACCUGUAGAUAGAUGAUUACCGCCCUAAGUACGAGGCGCAAGCCGUUUGAGUACACGGGAACAAAACAUGGCUUAUCGAA
rnacentral:RNase_P_RNA from 1 species